GGGAAGCUGAGAUGUCAAAUAUGCUUUUUAGGUUUCCUACUGCCAAGUUUACACCUUCACUAUUACAGUGAAACAUUAUGUCCAGGAAUGUGUCUAAAUGGAUUGAAUUUGUUAUUGCCUAAUUGUUUUUUGGUAGGUUUCCACACUACUUUCCUUCCAUUUAUAGUAUUUCUUAAUAUUAUUCAUUUCCUUUGGCUUUGAUGCCUCAUGAUUGAGUAUUGCUCUGUUCAAGUAGACUGUGAUUUAUCUGUGAUCUGAUUGGGGUGUCAGUGGGCUGACUGUGAACUCUCUGAGAGACUCUGGGAUGAGGUCAUGGAUAAAGUAGUCUAUAGUACUACUGCCAGGAGAUGAGCUAUAGAUGUAUCUACCGUAGGAGUCCCCUCGAAGCCUACCAUUGACUAUGUACAUACCGAACGUGCGACAGAGCUGCAGGAGCUGUGACCCGUUAGGUUGGUAAUGUUGCAUUUGUUGUGUUUAGGAGAGCAUAUGGGGGAGGGAAUGCUGCCAUCUCUCUCUCUCUCUCCCUCACUCCCUUCUGCUAUCCCCCCAGUCCCAGGAUACAGUAAGAUUCAUUGGCCAAAUACCUAAAGCUGAUUAUUUUACCAUUAUCCUCAUGUGGGUUCAUUCAUCAUGUAUGUCUUGCAAAUGUGAGAUAUAGUAUGUGACCAAACUGAAACACACCUUCUGAUGUUGACUUGUUAACAGGAGGGAGGAGGGGAAAGGUCUCUGGAAAAGCUAGCGCUACAGUGAGGGAAAGAAGACAUCUUGAGGAAGGAGAAGAGCAGCUUUGAUGCCCCUAAAGCACAGAUGGGGUCCGCAGUCCGUCGCUGAGCUUGGGUAUUCCUCCACUGCCUCAUUAGGACUGAUUUACACCGCAGCAAGGCGAAGCAAUAUGAGGUGGGAAGAGAGUGGAAGACAGACAGAGAGAGAGAUGGAGAUGGAGAAAAACAUUAGUGUAAAUGUACUUAGACUUAUUUCAACAACUCUUUUCUCCCAAAUUGUUAUGCAUGUCCCUCACACAACCCAACCCAGCCACACAGGAGGGUGAUUUUUUUACUAAGGAGGAGAAGGAGGCCAUUUCUGAGUGAAGCGCAUGAUUGCAAAAAGCAACCUUUGCUUCUUGCUUUUUUUUAACCCCUUUUUCUCCCCAAAUUCAUGGUAUCCAAUUGGUAGUUACAGUCUUGUCUCAACACUGCAACUCCCAUAUGGACUCGGGAAACACAACCCAACCAAGCCGCACUGCUUUUUGACACAAUGUCCACUUAACCUGGAAGCCAGACACACUAUUGCGUCAGAGGAAGCACCAUACUACUGGCAACCAUGUCAGCGUGCACUGCGCCAGGCCCACCACAGGACUCACUAGUGCACGGUGGGACAAGAACAUCCCUACCGGCCAAACCCUCUCCUAACCUGGACAACGCUGGGCCAAUUGUGCACUGCCCCAUGGGUCUCCCGGUCACUGCCGGCUGCGACAGAACCUGGACUCGAACCCAGAGUGGCACAGCUAGUACUGAGAUGCGGUGCCUUAGACCACCGCGCCACUCAGGAGGCCCAACCUACGCUUCUUCUGACGGGGAAUUGUCAAAGAGGUGAACA